GAUGAACGCUGGCGGCGUGCCUAACACAUGCAAGUCGAGCGUGAACCCUGCGAAUGAAACUUCGGUCGAUUUUGCAGGGGGAAAGCGGCGGACGGGUGAGUAACGCGUAGGUAACCUGCCCCAUACUGAGGGAUAGCCUCGGGAAACCGGGAUUAAUACCUCAUAACACCGUAUAUUCGCAUGGAUGUGCGGUCAAAGAUUUAUCGGUAUGGGAUGGGCCUGCGUCUGAUUAGCUGGUUGGUGGGGUAACGGCCUACCAAGGCGACGAUCAGUAGCCGACCUGAGAGGGUGAUCGGCCACAUUGGAACUGAGACACGGUCCAAACUCCUACGGGAGGCAGCAGUGGGGAAUAUUGCACAAUGGGCGAAAGCCUGAUGCAGCAACGCCGCGUGAGCGAAGAAGGCCUUUGGGUCGUAAAGCUCUGUCGGGUAGGAAGAUAAUGACGGUACUACCCGAGGAAGCCCCGGCUAACUACGUGCCAGCAGCCGCGGUAAUAGUACUCUA
rnacentral:rRNA from 1 species